rnacentral:rRNA from 1 species
UACAGAGGGGGCAAGCGUUGUUCGGAAUUACUGGGCGUAAAGGGCGCGUAGGCGGUUUGUCACGUCGGGCGUGAAAACUCAGGGCUCAACCCUGAGCGUGCGUUCGAUACGGGCAGACUAGAGGUAUGCAGGGGAAAACGGAAUUCCUGGUGUAGCGGUGGAAUGCGCAGAUAUCAGGAGGAACACCGGUGGCGAAGGCGGUUCUCUGGGCAUUACCUGACGCUGAGGAGCGAAAGCAUGGGGAGCGAACAGG